rnacentral:tRNA from 1 species
GGGCCUGUAGCUCAGCAAGGUAGAGCAUCGGCCUUUUAAGCCGUUGGUCAGGGGUUCGAAUCCCCUCAGGCCCG